rnacentral:rRNA from 1 species
UGGGGAAUAUUGGACAAUGGGCGCAAGCCUGAUCCAGCCAUGCCGCGUGAGUGAUGAAGGCCUUAGGGUUGUAAAGCUCUUUUAGCAGGGAAGAUAAUGACGGUACCUGCAGAAAAAGCCCCGGCUAACUUCGUGCCAGCAGCCGCGGUAAUACGAAGGGGGCUAGCGUUGCUCGGAAUUACUGGGCGUAAAGCGCACGUAGGCGGACUCUUAAGUCGGUGGUGAAAUCCUGGAGCUCAACUCCAGAACUGCCUUCGAUACUGGGAGUCUUGAGUUCGGGAGAGGUGAGUGGAACUGCGAGUGUAGAGGUGAAAUUCGUAGAUAUUCGCAAGAACACCAGUGGCGAAGGCGGCUCACUGGCCCGAUACUGACGCUGAGGUACGAAAGCGUGGGGAGCAAACA